rnacentral:other from 1 species
GGUUUCCUGCGGCGUUCGUCCAGGCUCAAAUCCUUGAACCGAUAAGUGGUAUGAAAUGGACGCCCGCUCAGUGCGCUAUUGUGCGCGUCCCACGUCGGACGUACCUGCGGCGCGCGGUGGGUGACCGCCUUGAACCUCUGGGUUCAGGUUAGCGGCCUGGGCGAACACCGCAGGGAAUCU